GCCUUGGUGGUGUAGUGGUCAAGACGUUCGCCUGUUAAAUAGAAGGGCAUGGGUUCGAUCCCAGCCAAGGCA
rnacentral:tRNA from 1 species